GGUACGUACGUCAGAGAGUUUCGUAUCCUGGCGUCAGGAUGAACGCUGGCGGCGUGCCUAACACAUGCAAGUCGAACGGACUCAUACUGAAACCUAAGUGAUUUAUGAGUUAGUGGCGGAGGGUGAGUAACGCGUGGAUAACCUGCCGUAUACCGGGGGAUAACACUUAGAAAUAGGUGCUAAUACCGCAUGAGCGCACAGCUCCGCAUGGGGCGGUGUGAAAAACUCCGGUGGUAUACGAUGGAUCCGCGUCUGAUUAGCCAGUUGGCGGGGGUAACGGCCCACCAAAGCGACGAUUAGUAGCCGGCCUGAGAGGGUGAACGGCCACAUUGGGACUGAGACACGGCCCAGACUCCUACGGGAGGCAGCAGUGGGGAAUAUUGCACAAUGGGGGAAACCCUGAUGCAGCGACGCCGCGUGAGUGAAGAAGUAUCUCGGUAUGUAAAGCUCUAUCAGCAGGAAAGAUAAUGACGGUACCUGACUAAGAAGACCCGGCUAACUACGUG
rnacentral:rRNA from 1 species